rnacentral:rRNA from 1 species
GUAGGUGGCAAGCGUUGUCCGGAAUUAUUGGGCGUAAAGCGCGCGCAGGCGGUUCUUUAAGUCUGAUGUGAAAGCCCACGGCUCAACCGUGGAGGGUCAUUGGAAACUGGAGAACUUGAGUACAGAAGAGGAAAGCGGAAUUCCACGUGUAGCGGUGAAAUGCGUAGAGAUGUGGAGGAACACCAGUGGCGAAGGCGGCUUUCUGGUCUGUAACUGACGCUGAGGCGCGAAAGCGUGGGGAGCAAACAGGAUUAGAUACCCUGGUAGUCCACGCCGUAAACGAUGAGUGCUAAGUGUUAGGGGGUUUUCCGCCCCCCUUAAUGCUGCAGCUAACGCAUUAAGCACUCCGCCUGGGAGUACGGCCGCAAGGCUG